UCCUGAACUGGCCAUGUAACUGGCAGCCCAUGCAGUUCCCAUGCAUAUAAAUGUUUUGUUUUUCUGUUACAGGCCACAAAGUAGUAGUUGUGAGAUGUGAGGGCAUCAACAUCUCUGGUAACUUCUACCGUAACAAAUUGAAGUACUUGGCUUUCCUGCGCAAGAGGAUGAACACAAACCCCUCCCGUGGACCCUACCACUUCAGAGCUCCCAGCAGGAUCUUCUGGAGGAC